CGGGAUGUGGCGCAGCACGGUCAGCGCACUCGGCUGGGGGCCGAGGGGCCGCCGGUUCGAAUCCGGCCAUCCCGA
rnacentral:tRNA from 1 species